rnacentral:rRNA from 1 species
ACAACUUUCAACAAUGGAUCUCUUGGCUCUCGCAUCGAUGAAGAACGCAGCGAAAUGCGAUACGUAAUGUGAAUUGCAGAAUUCCGUGAAUCAUUGAAUCUUUGAACGCACCUUGCGCCCCUUGGUAUUCCGAGGGGCAUGCCUGUUUGAGUGUCAUU